rnacentral:lncRNA from 1 species
CCAUUCCAAAAAUCCUAGGGCCCUUAAGAAUUAUGCUACAUCUGGCUGGGUGCAGUGGCUUAUGCCUGUAAUCCUAGCACUUUGGGAGGCUGAGGUGAGUGGAUCACCUGAGGUCAGGAGCUCAAGUCCAGCCUGGCCAACAUGGUAAAACCUUAUCUCUACUAAAAAUACAAAAAUUAGCCAGGCAUGGUGGCAUGUGCCUGUCAUCCCAGCUAUUUGGGAGGCUGAGGCAGGAGAAUUGCUUCAGCCCAGGAAGUGGAGGUUGCAAUGAGUCAAGAUUGCCUAAAAUGUUCAUAGUCAGUAUUACAGUCUUUCAGAUUUUUUUUUCUGUGUCUGUCUGCUGUCUAUGUCCAUGCCUACCUUACUUUCUUCCCUCUCUCUUCCCUCCCCACCCUCCCUUCCUUCCUUCCCUCCUUCCCGCCUUCCCUGCUUCCUUCUUGCCUGCCUCCCUUCCUGCCUGCCUCCCUUCCUGCCACUUACAUUCUCUUAACAAUGAGAAAAAAAUUCCCCCGUCAUUAAAUAUUGUUGAUUGGCAUGAGAAUGGCCAAGAGCACAGACUCAGGAGCCUUUGAAUUCAUGACAUGCCUUUUGUUAGCUGUGUGACCUUAGGCAAAUUAUAUAACAUGUCUCUGCUUCAACAUCUGUCCCAACAUUUCUUUUUCUCAUCUGUAAAAUGGGAAUAAUAGUAGUUGAUAUUUACCUCAUAGAGUUUUUCUGGGGAAUUAAAACAUGUGAUUAAAAUACAUGUGGGCUUAAUACAUGUGAAAUGCUCACAGUAAUGUUUAUCACAUUGUAAACCUACAAUUAGUAGCUGCCUUUGUUGUUGGUAUCAUCAUUAUUGUUAUAUUAUUCCAUAAUAAUAUUAUUGGCAACAUAGUAUUCCAUAAUAUGGAUAUACCGUAAUUUAUUUAAAUGAUACUUUUUGGUUGGUAUUUAGAUUGUUUUCAUGCUUUCCCCCAUUUUGGAAGCAAUAUAGCAGUAAAUAUUUUUAAAGGUAGAUUUUUUUUGGCUAAUCUGUGAUUAUUUUUUAAGAAUAAACUCCUAGGGGCAGCAUUGCUUGGCCAAAGGCCAUGAACAUAUUUUAAGUAUCUAUAGCAUAUUGCCAAAUU